GCUAUUACAAUCGAAUUGAUAGGGUCACUGUCUUUUUUACAAUAAAGUCUCAAAAUAGAACAUACAAAAGGAAACUAGAAAGAAUAAAUUGUGUCCUCGAACCAUAAGGACUCAAGACAAAGAGAGAAUCAAUCCAAAAAGAAUAAAUCGUGUCCUUGAACCAUAAUGACUCAAUGCAAGGAGAGAAUCAAUCCAAACCUUCGGCCAAAGAGAAGCAACCUCAACCACUCGGACCUACACUUUGUGAUAAAAGGUAGAAAAUAAGCAUUAGCAUAAACAAUGUACCAUGUAUGGAAGUCAUGAAUAAAAUUCAUAAAACAUGCAAAGAGGGGCAAUUUAUUUGAAAUUAUGCACUUUAACAUUUUUAAGAGUCAUCACGCACAAUAGUGUAAAUACAAAAGUCAAACUAAUUCAUAAGCAACCAUAAGUCAUACUUGUAUAAUGCAUAGACAAGAUUCCAUUAUCCUAUCUAAAGCUAAGUAUUACUUUUAGGCCACAAUCAUCAUGCAUAUCAUAACUUAUCCUUAUCCAUAGACAAUACUCAUAAACAAGGGGACAUUCAUGUUCAUUAACUUGAAACAAGUAAAGUCAUUCUUGACAACAAUACAUAUGAUACAUGCAUAAUUCAUAAAUCUUCGUAGCAUAAAAGAAACUCACCACAACCACCUUGAAGCCUACAUGUGCAAUGUAUAAAUGGAGUAUCAUACCCCCACUCAUAUAAGUAGUACCUUUUAAGAAGUCAUAAUUAUCAUCAUAAUUCAUAUUAUUAUCAUAUAAGCAAACUUAUACUUAACCGACAUAGACCAUAUGAGCUACAUUAAAUUUGGUGUCUUGCCCCCACACCAAAAAGAGGUGUCCUACUUACCUAAGGUAGAACUAGCAUAUUAACUUUUAGGUAGAUCCACUAGCUAAAGACCUAUGUGGACAUAGUUAUGGGAUAAGGAGAUUGUUACUAGAUUCCCAGACUUUCUAACGUAAAAGGUUUCCAUCUCAUGAGAUAACUUACUUUGGAAGCUGGACUUUCUAACUUAAAAGCUUCCAUCUCAUUUUCAUACCACUUGGUGCUAAGCAUAGUUCCCUUUAAAAUUCAUAUUAAUUCUUUACUUAAAUUCAUGUUCAUAAAAUAAUGCAUUGGGCACUCAAUUCAACAUGAUAUCAUAAUAGAUCAUAGAUUCAUUAGGUGAGAGUGUCCUUUAAACCCUAGAAUCAUCAAUAUGUGAGUAAACCUUUCACCUCAUAAUCAUAGUGUGUUUAUGAGAAUAGUCUUUCAUUCAACACUAUAAUUCUAUCAUAGUCAUAGACAUAUCAUACAUAGUCAUGUGUAAGGGUAGGGAAGAAUGAUCUUACAACAAUACCACAAUUACACAAUAAUCAUAGGAUCUUCACUUUUAAGUGAAUCAUAAACUCAUACACGAUUCUCAUAAAGAGGUACAAAUCCUCAUAAAUUGCCCUUCAAGGGACAUGAAUCACAAUCAACCUAACCAUAUACAAUUACUACAUAAUAAUAGGGAAAUUUCAUGAUUAAAUACCUAAUCAACAUAAGCAUAAUCAAUUGACGUACUUUUAAUAUCAUUCAACCCACAUCAUCAAUUCAUAGUUUAGCAAUAUGAUAAAUCAUGGGUCCAUAGGAAUAAUUCAUCAUAAUUCAAUAAUAAUCCAUCAAUCCAAUCAUAAUUCAUCAUAACCAACAAUAAUAAACCAUAAAUAAACAAUUGAAAACGUUUCAAGGAGGACCCACUACAUAGAUUGAAACGCUAGGUUUGGAAGAAUCUACAAAUUUGAAAUUGAGAGUUUUAGGGCUUCAUGGAAGAAAUCUAACCAUGAAUCAAGACUAUCAUACGUUGGUUAGAGAUUUCCUCACAAAUAGGAGUAGAGAAGAUGAGUUCUUGAGACCUAAUCUUCAUGUUCUUCUUUACUGAAGGAUUUCUAGUAAGAGAAAUAUCGGAGAGGAGAUGAUUUUGGAAAUUAUUUUAGUGUUUG
rnacentral:lncRNA from 1 species